CCCAGUGUUUUGAAAAGUGAGGCGAAAAAAAGCGAUGAGGGAUCGCUGCACAGAAGUGAGAAGCGUGAAGCGAAGCGCACGCUUUUUUCCAUUAAAGCGCUAUUUAGUACAAAAUUUAAAAAUAUUAAACGUGCAUAAAUAAAUAACCAAGAGUUCAAUAAAUAACAUAAUCAUUCAAUACUCAAAUUAAAAAGAGAAUAGAUAGUCAUAACAAGCAUUCAAGCAAACUACUAAAAUACUAAAAAUUAGUCUUGCAUCUUAAUCAACCAACACAAAUAGAGGAGAAGAAAAAAAACAAAGAAAAAAACAAAGUUGGAAGUCAGAAUACCUACAGCAAAAAUAAAAAAUAAAACAGAACUGGAAAACAGAAAGAAGAAGAAGAGAAAAAUACAGAGACGAAAAAGAGUAAUAGAGGAGAAGAAAAAAAACUAGAAAACCCUAAUAGGAGAAGAAGAAGAAGAGAAAUAGAGAAGAAGAAGAGGAGAAACAGAGAAGAAGAAGUAGCAUACCUUCAGCAGUUGUUCCAGAAAAAUCGCAGCAGCAGCAAUGCAGUCGUAUAGUCACUUAAGGGUUUUAACUAAAAUAAAUUAAAUAAAACAAUAAAACCCUACAAAAAAAAAACUUAAAUAUCCACUUAAGCGAGUUUUUCUGCGCUUUUUUUGCUUCAGCGCUUCUCGCUUCUGGACAUAAAGCGAGAGCUUUUUUCUUGCCCCAACGCUUUAAGUGUAAAAAGCGAACCACUGUCGCUUCGCUUCACGCUUUAAGCGAGCGCUUCAACGCUUUUCACAACACUGAGACUACCAAAUGAAGUACAUAAUGAAUACACUGAUGCAAUCUAUCUUUGAACAUAACAUAGAGACCAAUCUAGUACAUAAGAGGGAGAAUAGUAAUACUCCGAACGCCAGGAGCUCACUCUACGUCUCCGAACCAUAGCUGCUCCACACGACGCAGACAACAACAGUGAGAACCCGUACUAUGAUCUGCAUGCUGCAGAAGUGUAGCAUGAGUACCAAACACGUGGUACUCAGUAGGCAACUGUCGACUUACCUCCAACGAUAAUACAAAUAUACGUAACAUGUAAGCAAGAAUGUAAACAACGCUCAAAUAUCCAGGAAACUAACAUAGUAAAGCUAAGGAGGCAAUAAGGAUAAACUAUCCUAUUCUAGUCAUACUCAGGAACCUAAGCACUGUAUUGUAUAUCACUGACCAAUAUAUAUACGAAUAAGAACAGAAGAAGGAUAUAUAUAUAUAUACAAUGCAAAGGAAUGGAUAUACAACAUGAAUAAAUGAAAUAAGAAAGGGAUACAAAGUAAUACUAUAACUACUAUAGAUAGAUACAUAUACAUGAACAAGGCUAACUCAAAGGUACAACCUAAGUAGUCACACUAGCAUCUCAAAGCGUCCUAAUCAUAGUAGGAACUAGUUCUAAUAUAAUUUGGGUUUAAAACCACAAUGCCUAAUCAUGGCAUGAUCAUAUAAAAUAGAAUAACCGUAAAAUAAAGAAAUAGGAAUCCAAGUCCAAUAAUCAACAUGUCACGAGCUAAUCAUAAUAAAAAUAACAAUAUAAAGUAACCGACAAGCCGGGAAAAACAUACCUAAAUCGGGCUCAAGAACUCGAAAGGUCCAAUCAACAUACAACACACUACAAGAAACACUCAUCACCGAUACCUAUGCAACACCCCAUAUAGCUAAUAGAUAUAGGAGUAUACUGGUGAUAUGCAAUGCACAUAGCAAGAAUGUAAACAACGCCCAAAUAUCCAGGAAACUAACAUAGUAAAGCUAAGGAGGCAAUAAGGAUAAACUAUCCUAUUCUAGUCAUACUCAGGAACCUAAGCACUGUAUUGUAUAUCACUGACCAAUUUAUAUACGAAUAAGAACAGAAGAAGGAUAUAUAUAUAUAUUAGUAAACAAGGUCAAGGAAUGGACAUACAACAUGAAUAAAUGAAAGAAUGAAGGGAUAUACGGUAGUGCCAUAACUACAUAGAGAUAGAUACAUAUACAUAAACAAGAUCACUCGAAGGUACAAUCUAAAGUAGUCAUUCUAGCAUCUCAAGGCCUCCUAAUCAUAGUAGAAAUUAGUGCUAACAUAAUCAUCUGACCAUACGUCUAACUAUGAGAUAAUUAUCCAUAAUAAAAUGCAUGUAAGAGAAAAGAAUCAGAAUUAGAAUCAUACCUCGAAUCUCAGUACCAGCCCAAUAUUCAGCCUGUUACGAACUAGCCAUAAUAGCAAUAACAAUAUAAAGUAACAGGCUAGCCCAGACAAACAAUACCUAAACCAUGCCCCGUAACUCGGAAGGUUCAAUCAGCACACACAACAUACCACAAGCAAUACUCAUCACCUAUACCUAUGCAACCCCUCAUAAGGUUGAUAGAUAUAGGCGCAUACUGGUGAUAGGCCAUGCGCAUGCAAGGAUGAAUGCUAGUGAAUCCAUAUGCCAUAACCGAUCCAAGUACCAUAAAGUAACCCAAUGUAUACACCCCCUCUAUCUUGACGGCUCGCGAAGGUAGGACCUACAACGACCUCUCUUUUUUGCCACGAUGGCUCACGGACAAAGAGGCUUCUAGGGGGUUCGGGAGUACCCGUAUACACCGACCUAGUCCUAAUCCAGGAUUUUCAGUAACCAUCAUCAUCAUAUAUACAUAUUACAAAAGUGUAGAAAGGGUCAGAAUCUCUCUCGAUCGAGGUAAAUAGUAGUAGUAAGACUGUGGACUGGAGUCUAUCUCGGUCAUUUCUCUAAAACAUCAUUUUUAGUCUCAAAGGCUCAUAAGUUAUUCAUUAAGAUGGUAUGAUUCCCAUUAUGUACAAAUCCGUUUUAAAAGUGAAAAGUGGGAAUAAAUCCUUUUUAAGAAAA
rnacentral:lncRNA from 1 species